CACGUAGGGCGCGAGCGUUGUCCGGAAUUAUUGGGCGUAAAGAGCUCGUAGGCGGCCUGUUGCGUCCGCUGUGAAAGCCCGGGGCUUAACCCCGGGUCGGCAGUGGAUACGGGCAGGCUAGAGGUAGGUAGGGGAGAUCGGAAUUCCUGGUGUAGCGGUGAAAUGCGCAGAUAUCAGGAGGAACACCGGUGGCGAAGGCGGAUCUCUGGGCCGUAACUGACGCUGAGGCGCGAAAGCGUGGGGAGCAAACAGG
rnacentral:rRNA from 1 species